rnacentral:rRNA from 1 species
UACGGAGGGUGCGAGCGUUGUCCGGAAUCACUGGGCGUAAAGGGUGCGUAGGCGGCCGAGUAAGUCACGUGUGAAAGCCCGGGGCUCAACCCCGGUUCGGCAUGUGAGACUGCUGGGCUCGAGCGCGGUAGAGGCGAGUGGAAUUCCUGGUGUAGCGGUGGAAUGCGUAGAGAUCAGGAAGAACACCGGUGGCGAAGGCGGCUCGCUGGGCCGUUGCUGACGCUGAGGCACGAAGGCGUGGGGAG